ACGGAAGGCGCAGUGGGGAAUAUUGCACAAUGGGCGAAAGCCUGAUGCAGCGACGCCGCGUGAAGGAUGAAGUAUUUCGGUAUGUAAACUUCUAUCAGCAGGGAAGAAAAUGACGGUACCUGACUAAGAAGCUCCGGCUAAAUACGUGCCAGCAGCCGCGGUAAUACGUAUGGAGCAAGCGUUAUCCGGAUUUACUGGGUGUAAAGGGAGCGUAGGCGGCAUGGCAAGUCAGAUGUGAAAAUCCGGGGCUCAACCCCGGAACUGCAUUUGAAACUGUCAGGCUAGAGUGCAGGAGAGGCAAGCGGAAUUCCUAGUGUAGCGGUGAAAUGCGUAGAUAUUAGGAGGAACAUCAGUGGCGAAGGCGGCUUGCUGGACUGUAACUGACGCUGAGGCUCGAAAGCGUGGGGAGCAAACAGGAUUAGAUACCCUGGUA
rnacentral:rRNA from 1 species